CACCCAUGGUGGACAGGUUUCAGCAGAGCUUCCAGACUAAGACCAGCUAGGAAGAAGGACAUGGCCACCUACCUCUGUAAAAAUUUGCCAUGAAAACCCUAUGAAUAGCAGCAGAGCAUUGUCUUACAUAGCACUGGAAGGUGAGAGGAUGGCGCAAAAAGACCGCACAGGGCUCCACACUUCUCUACACGUGGUUGCUAGGAGUCAGGAUCAACUGGAUGGCACUAACAACAGAAUCAUUCUGUAAAGUGAGAACAUUAAAGUCAUAUCCUUUUUUUUUUUUAAUCUCAAAGCUUUGUGAAGGUUUAAGAGAAUGGCUUCCUUAUGGCAGCCAUGACUGAAACUACAUCUGCCUCACCCUGACUUGUGGACAGUCAGCAGCCUGAUUCAAAUUGAAGAUCAUCUGGCAUGGGGCCUGACCUACUGAAAUAAGCAAAGGAAGAUUAGCCCUGAGCUAACAUGUGCUGCCAAUCCUCCUCUUUUUGCUGAGGAAGACUGGCCCUGAGGUUAGAAAUUUAGAAGAAGCUCAGCGGGGCAAUUGGUCUCUAACUCAUGUGGUGUCAGCUGCAGCAUCAAGGCUGGAAGAUCCCCUUCCACAGUGGCUUCUUCAUUCACACG
rnacentral:lncRNA from 1 species